AUGUGCCUGUCCCUUCAGCAUCUGAAAAAAAUGAAGAUGUUUUUGAAAAGACAAGUCAAAGGCAUGCCUUGGAUGGAGAACAAGUUUUCUCCUUCACCUUGAAAUGUGAAGGAGGUAGCUCAUCUGGAAUAUUUUGUAGUGUAGAAUGGUUCUAAGGACACAGAGAAUCCAUUAGCUCUUCAGUAAGCAAAGAUAGACUGGAUAAUCACCCCAUCCCUUCUGGCUUCUUAAUCAGGUCGCUGAGUGGGGCUCACUCCCUGUCCCAGAAGUGGCUGCAAGUCAUUGGUUGGUAUUUAAGUGCAAAAUACACAACUAUAAGGGAUGUGCUCUCACUGAAAUUUCAAGUCCAUUCAUUCCACACUUUGGUUUCCUAUUUUUAAUUCAUACUGAAGAGAAUCAAGGUCGAAUCCAUUUGACAUUCCAAGGUCUUGUCUCAGAGAGAAAGGAGUAUCUGCUUUCUUGUUCUUGAUCUGCUGGAAGAGAAAUCUCUUGAGAAUAGGUACCUCAGGAGAGUGAGAAUCUCAAAGGCAGACUAGUCUGUAAAAUGACAGCUAGCAAAAACACCCUGGAGGUGUUUUAGAGGCAUCUGGAUCUGGCAGUGGCUGAUAUGGUUUAGUAGUUUAAGGUUUACAAUGAUAGUGUUGGGUUGAGAGCUGGACUUGGUGAUUUUGAAGAUCUCUUCCAACCUUGAUGAAUCUAUGAUUCCAUGAAAAGGUGCAGUGGAGUAGUCCAUUGAAAGAAAAGUCUGUGCAGCUCCUGAUGUGACCAGGAAGGCUCCUUCAGGCUCUGUGAGAUGAGGACCGAGGAAGACCCCAACCCAAGUCAGGGCCCAUAGCCUAUGGCCUCUGGAG